UUUCAUUGGGACUACUCAUGUGAGUAAGGUAAGGAGGACUGCUUAGCUGGAACCAACCGGUGAUUGGAUAGGCUGAAAGACAAGCUAUAUACAUAGUUUGUGGGUCCAGGAAUUGAACUUUGUAUUUGUUAGCAAGAGGCAGAUAUUGUAGUAGCAUGAAUCAUGGGACUGGAAGGGACCUCGAGAGGUCAUCUCGUUCAGUCCCCUGCACUCACGGCAGGACAAAGUAUUAUCUAGACCAGGCUGACAGCAGCUUGUCUAAUCUCCUCUUAAAAAUCUCCAAUGACAGAGAUUCCACAACCUUCCUAAGCAAUUUAUUCCAGUGCUUAACCACCUUGACAGUUAUGAAGAUUUUCCCAAUGUCAAAACUAAACCUCCCUUGCUGCAAUUUAAGCCCAUGGCUUCUUGUCCUAUCCUCAGAGUUUAAGGAGAACAAUUUUUCUCCCUCCUCCUUGUAACAGCCUUUUACGUACUUGAAAACUGUUGUUAUGUCCCCUCUGUCUUCUCUUUUCCAGACUAAACAAACCCGGUUUUUUCAAUCUUCCCCGAGAGGUCAUGUUUUUGAGACUGUUAAUCAUUUUUGUUGCUAUGCUCUGGACUUUCUCCAAUUUGUCCACAUCAUUCCUGAAAUGUGGUGCCCAGAACUGGACACAAUACUCCAGUUGAGGCCUAAUCAACAUGUAGUAGAGUAGAAGAAUUACUUCUCAUGUCUUGCUUACAACACUCCUGCUAAUACAUCCCAGAAUGACAUUUGCUUUUUUUGCAACAGUGUUACUUUGUUGACUCAUAUUUAGCUUGUGAUCCACUGUGACCCCAAAACCCCUUUCUGCAGUACUCCUACCUAGGCAGUCAUUUCCCAUUUUGUAUGUGUGCAACUGAUUGUUCCUUCCUAAGUGGAAUUCUUUGCACUUGUCCUUGCUACAUUUCAUCCUAUUUACUUAUGACCAUUUCUCAAAAUGCUCAUACAGCUACAAAGUUUUUCCUGUAUCAGGGAACAUUUCUCAUUAGAUUUUUUUAGUUACCCUUCCCUAAAUUAACUCAAAGCAUUUCACUUUCCCUCUCUAGUCUGCGUGCAUGUGUUUGAAUGACAUUUUCUUUUCCUCAAUCCCCUUUUACUUUGGGUAGCUACUGAAUCUGUUUCCCUCUCCCUUAUCUGAGCCAAAUAGCUGGGAAGACAAACCCCUUUUUGAAAGCUCUCCCCAGCUGAGGCUGUUUGCUAAACAGGAGAGUAUUUGCAGCUAAACAAGCCACCAGGCUGGAGGAUUAGCUGUGUGUGUGCUGGAAGCCUGCUCAAGGAGUGAAGUCCAGGUGCUGUGUUUGAUUGCAAACCUCAGGGCGAGAGGCACAGGCGGAGUCGACGGAGGAGCGUCAGCCAUUGACUUACCCCAGUGAAGACACCGCGACUGGUGCUGUGAAUGCUGUUCACAGAAGUGCUACAGUGGCCUGACACUUGGGAGUGGUGGUGAGCACCUGUUGAGGAUUGCUGGGUACUCUCAACCACAUUGGCUUCAAUGGGAGUUAAAGAUGCCUUGAAACUCACAGGUUUGGACGAACAUGGCUGCUACUCUGAAACCUGUAAUUGUGAAGAUGACCUCAAAAGAAGACUUGGUCUAGCCUCUACUACAUUCGGAAAACGUUGCAAGAUCUGGAAGGCUAAAGACAUUUCAAUAAAAACAAAACCCCCAUGUAUAUGAGACAAUUGUCAUGCAGAUACUGCUGUCUGGGUCAGAAUGCUAGAGUCUGAAGAAAGCCGAUGACUGACAGAUUUUGACUGC